rnacentral:rRNA from 1 species
UACGUAGGGUGCAAGCGUUGUCCGGAAUUAUUGGGCGUAAAGAGCUCGUAGGCGGUCCGUCACGUCGGCUGUGAAAACCCGGGGCUCAACUCCGGGCCUGCAGUCGAUACGGGCGGACUAGAGUACUGCAGGGGAGACUGGAAUUCCUGGUGUAGCGGUGAAAUGCGCAGAUAUCAGGAGGAACACCGGUGGGCGAAGGCGG